UACGUAGGGUGCAAGCGUUUAAUCGGAAUUACUGGGCGUAAAGCGUGCGCAGGCGGUUUUGUAAGUCUGUCGUGAAAUCCCCGGGCUCAACCUGGGAAUUGCGAUGGAGACUGCAAGGCUAGAAUCUGGCAGAGGGGGGUAGAAUUCCACGUGUAGCAGUGAAAUGCGUAGAGAUGUGGAGGAACACCGAUGGCGAAGGCAGCCCCCUGGGUCAAGAUUGACGCUCAUGCACGAAAGGCGUGGGGGAGCAAACGAGG
rnacentral:rRNA from 1 species